UGGCGGACGGGUGAGUAAUGUCUGGGAAACUGCCCGAUGGAGGGGGAUAACUACUGGAAACGGUAGCUAAUACCGCAUAACGUCGCAAGACCAAAGAGGGGGACCUUCGGGCCUCUUGCCAUCGGAUGUGCCCGGAUGGGAUUAGCUAGUAGGUGGGGUAACGGCUCACCUAGGCGACGAUCCCUAGCUGGUCUGAGAGGAUGACCAGCCACACUGGAACUGAGACACGGUCCAG
rnacentral:rRNA from 1 species